rnacentral:rRNA from 1 species
AAGCGUUUUGGAGAAGCUCUCAACAAACAGGUGAGGUCUAGUUCUGUGCUGCGAGGCUUUGAAUAAAAGUGUGGCCUAGUUCCGUGCUGUGUAAAGCUUCCAAUAAAAGUGCGGCCUAGAUCUGUGCCGAGAUAUGUUGUGGCGUUUUCAGACUGCUCUGGGGUUAAAACCCACCCGGCGGAAGAAUAAAUAAUCUCUUGGGUGUUUUUACUAUUGAAUCUGUCUGAAUGAGAAGUACCAAAGAAUUGUUAAAACUUUCAGCAACGGAUCUCUUGGUUCUCGCAUCGAUGAAGAACGCAGCGAAAUGCGAUAAGUAGUGUGAAUUGCAGAAUUCCGUGAAUCAUCGAAUCUUUGAACGCACAUUGCGCCUUUUGGUAUUCCGAAAGGCAUGCCUGUUCGAGAGUCAUAGAUCAACCCUUUCAACUCCUAUUUGUUAUACUUUCAAGGGACUUGGUUAUGGUGGAAGAGGAGAGGAAAACAUCUGUAAGGAUUCUCCUCCCCAUCAAAAUUCAAUGGCGGGUCCGUACCCAUCAUCUGUUGAAGUGAGGCGUUGUAAAAGCUGUCAAGCACUUUUCGUCAACCAGCAGUUGGGAACGUUGGGCUCAUUGCCGUUAUUAAAACC